rnacentral:lncRNA from 1 species
GAGCGAUUUUCAUCAACAUAUAUCACCAUAAAAUCGAAAUUCACAUAUUUCCAACAGUUGUAAGGAUAGCAAACCAAUAGUUUGAGAAGACAAUACAUCACAAAAUUUGACAAAAUAGAAUAAAUGACCGAGAUUAAUCAACCGGAGACCCUAAGUACUCGAGCUCGUCGUCGUCCACUGCCUUCUCUCCGGCGGACUUGGCUGGGCACCUCCAAAAAGCAUAUACUAAAUCGAUCCAAAACCCAAAANAAGAAGGAAAAAGAAACAUGGAAGAAAUGACUACUGGAUUUCAUUUUUUCCCAACGGAAGAAGAACUCAUCUCAUUCUAUCUUCACAACAAACUGAUACUACGCCGCCGCCAUCGCCGAAGACGUGAGAUCCGCCGCCUGCAUAUUCGGCCUGCCCCUGUCCAGACCUCGAAGAUCAAACCACAGAAUUCAAUUGAAUGUAAUUUUUCCUCUGCCUCGCGCUCGCCGCCGUCGUGGCCUCUGUCAAAUACCGCCCGGCGUCGGGGCACAGAUACCCCUGCCAAUACGACGAUGAAUUCGACGCCUUGAAGUUCAGAUCCGCCGCCCAGCGCAGAUCUGUGGCGGUGCUUCCUAGUACGAAAGAGGAGUGAGAGAUAAGAGAAAGAGAGAGGAGAGAGAGAAAUCGGCGCCGGCUGAGAUCUGACGGCGGAUGCGCCGCUGCCGGUGGCCGUGGGAGCGUGCGGGAGAAAGAGAGAGAGAGAGAGAG